CUUCGGGAUGGGCUGGCUGCCCCAGCCCAGAUGGCUCUCGACCAUCAGGCCGACGAUCGAGUUGUUGCCCUCGAGG
rnacentral:tRNA from 1 species